UCUAGGGAGCAUUCAAGCUGAACAAGUUGCUUCAGGUAUAAUACAAAAUAAAUUGAGUGCAGACUGCACUUUAACAGGGACAACAUUUUCUUUAUCAACUGGGGGAAACCCGUUUGAUGUAACUGUUGGAUGUCCUUCUAACAAGGUAAAUAGAAGAUAAGUAAAACAAGUAUCCUUACAAGUUAUAAAGGAACUUCAAGUCGUAUUAGAGUUUUCUAAUAAAAAGACCAAACAAUUAAAUUCUACUCUUCGAAAAGGAAUAGGGAGUAAGACUGUUGUAGAAACUAACAUUUUUGGCAAGUUAAAUGAUCUUUCGGAAUCCGUAUCACAUUUUUAUCAUGUAGAAAAGAUAGAUUUCCUUGAAAAUGAAUUGGGAAUUGUUGAAAAGGAUCUUGUGUAUGUUUAAGAGUCAUCAUCUUUCACAAUGGAUUUGAUUAACCGUGGUUUAGACGUUCAUUCUGCAUUUGUACGAAUUUCUAUGGAUAGUGAAGGAUCCUUUUUGAAAAUUAUAAUCAAUGUUUUUGAUGUAAAUGAAAAAAAAAAGUCUUCUGUAAUGUACAUGAAUAGUGGACUUUUUUCAAUAAAAUAAUAAUCUAAAUAAUAAAUCUAAAAAAUCUAACAUGCAACAAUAUAUAAAUGUGAUACAUCCGAGGAUUCUCUAUCUAGAGAAGUGUCUAGAUACUCUAAUUCAGCAUUUGGUACCACCUCCUGAAUUACAUUUUUUGAUUGGAGUUGUAUCUACUUUAGGAUGUCUACUUAUGGAUAUUUGGCCUGAAUUUGAUGACUGGCUGAAAACUAAAAGUGUUUAUCAGAGAGAGUAUCAAGGUAGAGGUUGGGACGGAAAUAAUUCUAACAAGAUCCUG